UCGGGCUCUUCAGGCCCGUGUCAUGGAUGCAACGGCGGCCGCCUCAUCGCCUCAUCCCCUCCUCUUCCUCCUCCUCCCCCGGCCGCGCGCGCAGGACGGCUGUUACUGGCGCGGUCGCGCGGGGCCCUGCCGGCGACACGCCUAUUUAAGCUGAGAUUCAAGAGCUCUAUCACACAAUUUCCAAUGCACUAUGGAAUUCCUGAAGAUUCUCUGCAUUUUUUUUUCCCCACAAGAAGAGCAGGUGGAUGCCCAGAGGAGGCUGUGACCCUGUGGGAAGCCCACGCUGGAGCAGGAUCCUGGCAGGACCUGUGGCCCCAUGGAGAGAGGAGCCCAGGCUGGAGGUUUGCUGGCAGCUCUUGUGACCCUAC